rnacentral:tRNA from 1 species
GUCCGCCUGAAGGUGGAAAUUCUCUCUUUCACGGUGAGUACAGGGGUUCGAAUCCCCUUGGGGACGCCA